GCAGCACGGUCGCCGCCGCCGCUGUCGGUGCUGGAGAUCGCGGCUCGGUGCAGGCGGCGCCCAUGCCUCCUCUCCUCCACUAGCCCGCGCGCCAGUCCGCCUGCCGGGGCCGGCUCUCCGCCUCCUGCCUCCCGUCGCAGCCGCGCAGCCGCCGCAGAGCCCGCGGCGCCACCGCUCGCCCUCUAGUCUCUGAUCUUCACUGGCAUACUGGGUCCCUCGGAAAAGUGGAAGACAUGAAGUAUGGAUGCAUAUAAUACCCGAGGAAGUCUCAAAGGUUCUGCCACUUGCUGGGAAAACAGCAACAGAAGGAUAUUAAGGAGCCACCCCUAUAAUUUACCCAGAUAGCCCCAGCAAGGUCAAAGACAUAUCGUGUCCCAAGGAGAAAA
rnacentral:sRNA from 1 species